CACGUAGGGGGCAAGCGUUGUCCGGAUUUAUUGGGCGUAAAGAGCUCGUAGGCGGUUCGAUAAGUCGGGUGUGAAACCUCCAGGCUCAACCUGGAGACGCCACCCGAUACUGUCGUGACUAGAGUCCAGUAGGGGAGCGUGGAAUUCCUGGUGUAGCGGUGAAAUGCGCAGAUAUCAGGAGGAACACCGGUGGCGAAGGCGGGUCUCUGGGCCGAUAUUGACGCUGAGGAGCGAAAGCGUGGGGAGCGAACAGG
rnacentral:rRNA from 1 species